rnacentral:lncRNA from 1 species
AGAGACUGGCACUCACCUGUGUCACUGUGCGGGGAGGGCAGGGUCUCGCCAGCAGCCGGUGGCACAUGCGGGCGGCACGGGGGCUGCGUGGUGGCCUCUGUGAUGUCACCUGGCAGAGGUGCCUGAGCUGGGCCCGGCGUGGAGGGCAUAGGCCUCACUCUCUGACUGCCUGACAGUCCCUACAGUGAGCGGGACCCCCUUAUUAAGGCUGUGGGGCAGAGUGGGGUGACAGGUGUUGAGGGGUGGGGCCCAGCCCCGGGCACCCGCAUGUUCCUCUCUGCCCCUGGGAGAAGUGUUGAGAGACGGAGCUCGGGAUCAGCUGGCAUAUCCACCAUGUUCCAGGGUCGACCAGGGAGCACAGAGCCCUGAACAUCCCUUCAACAGCGCGCCACACGCUCCUGGCACAAACUCCAGACCACGGCACAGCACCCAGAUGGCUGCAGCCACGCAGGUGACACAGGGUCCAGAAACCUUGACAAAAAAGAUACUUCGGGGCAUUGGGAUGUGUGAGGCUCAGGUGGGAGGAGAAGGCUCCAGCCCUCACCACGCUUGGCCCUGCCUCCAGCAAGGACCCCCACCCCAGGGCUCCAGGCCUCGGGCUGCUGCCUGUCUGAUGUGAGCGUCCUCACCCUGUCCAGAAACCCACAACUGCCAGGACCGUGGGGUGACAGCCACGGUGGGCUCUGCAGGCCCCUCUGGUCUAAGACACCAGGAGGCCACAUCCAGCAACCAAGGCCACCCGGCAGGACACGUCAGGAUGGAGGUGCAGUGAAGACUGCGGUGGACGCCUCCAGAGGUUCCCACUUGGCUUCCAGUGGAGCCUCUGCCAAACCCGGCCUGUGCAAGGGCAGAGACAAGGCCCAGCAGGGCUCGAGCAGGCCCAAACGCACGACGCAGCUGCUGUGCCUGGGUCUGAGCUGCACCCACAGUUUUCCUGGCGUCUUGUCCUCUGGAUGGGCCUCUGGAUGAACAUAAACUCCAGGGAAGCUGCAUAGAAUAUGCAGCUCUUCUUUAACGCUCCCUAGAGGAAGAAAGCCCCUCAGCCGGAAGUAUUGUUGACGUCGCCGCCACUACUAAUGAAAUAUUUACUGAAAAGCCAAAGCGAAA